rnacentral:rRNA from 1 species
GACGAACGCUGGCGGCGUGCCUAAUACAUGCAAGUCGUGCGGACCUUUUAAAAGCUUGCUUUUAAAAGGUUAGCGGCGGACGGGUGAGUAACACGUGGGCAACCUGCCUGUAAGACUGGGAUAACGCCGGGAAACCGGGGCUAAUACCAGAUAGUUUUUUCCUCCGCAUGGAGGAAAAAGGAAAGGCGGCUUCGGCUGCCACUUACAGAUGGGCCCGCGGCGCAUUAGCUAGUUGGCGGGGUAACGGCCCACCAAGGCAACGAUGCGUAGCCGACCUGAGAGGGUGAUCGGCCACAUUG